rnacentral:rRNA from 1 species
UACGUAGGGGGGCAAGCGUUGUCCGGAAUCAUUGGGCGUAAAGCGCGUGUAGGCGGCUUGGUAAGUCCGCUCUGAAAGCCCGGGGCUCAACCCCGGAAUUGCCUUUAAGACUGCAUCGCUUGAACAUCGGAGAGGUAAGUGGAAUUCCGAGUGUAGAGGUGAAAUUCGUAGAUAUUCGGAAGAACACCAGUGGCGAAGGCGACUUACUGGACGAUUGUUGACGCUGAGGUGCGAAAGCGUGGGGAGCAAACAGG